UGGGGUGUGGCGCAACUGGUAGCGCACCGGAUUCCAAACCCGGUUGUUGCAGGUUCGAGUCCUGUCACCCCUGC
rnacentral:tRNA from 1 species